ensembl:lncRNA
UGUCCCUGACCCUAAGGACUAGCCGCCUUCAAGUCCAGUGUCUGAGCAGCUCCAGGCUUUCUGGGGUUUGAAAACUCAAUUCAGAUAUUUGGCCCAGUUUCUUAAUGAAAACGGAAAAUUGCAUUUUGAGCCUCAGCCUUCCUGAAGAGCAGCCCGUGCCAAAUGCGAGGCGUCGGAGAUGAAAACAAGGAUUUGCAGGACGCGGUGUCCCAUGGCAGGCAAAGGUCAGCGGGAGUGCCGAGCCGAGCAGGACUGGCCCCUCUGGCUGGAAACUUUGCUGUUUGCUCCACGGCCACUGCGGUUUGAGGCACCCGCAGGCGCGUGGUGGGAGCGAGCCAUUUGUUUUGCUCAGAAGAGGAUAUUUGUGAUUAGGGAAAUCACCGAUUUUAUGCACUAGUGUGUUUUGUUUCCUUCAUAAGGGGAAAAAAAAAAAAAACACAAAAAAAACAGGGACCUUUAGAAUGCCAAAAGCUUGUCUUAAUAUUUCACCAAAGUAUUUUAUAAAUGCACGUUGCAAAUGGCAGUAUAAAUUCUCCGCUAUGGAAAAUUGCUAUCUGGUUUGAAACUAGGCAGGAUAAAUAGAACUAUAAAAGGUUACCUGGAGUAAACAGAUAGGGUUUCCAAAAUGUACCACAUGAGAUAGAUUGGAGCUCAUAGUAAUCUGUUUUCCAUGCUUAACAUACGCUCAGCAUCAGCUGAACUCUGUAACUGAGCUGCCAUCUGUAUCAAUCCUGUUCCUAGAUGUCAUGGCCCUGUUAAUGAAAUCUGGAAGUGAAAUUGUAAAUGGAUUCGGUGAAUGGUAGAUGUCAGCCAUUGCGUGAUGGGCAAUCAUCAAUCAUCCACUGUCAGUUAUUUCUGUCUCAGUGCCUCGUGAAGUUCCACAUUGCUCCGGAUUUCAGAGACAGAUGCUGCUUCGUGUACCCAGGACCUGUUUCAAAUUCAGCUAAUUCAGGUAACUUUCUGGCAGGAUUUGCACGCUUCUUAAUUUUUGAAUGCUUUUUAAACUUUUGUUUCAAUCAAAAUCAUUCCAUGUUUUUGAGAUCCACAAAUAAAGUAGGCAUUAAAAAAGAAUAUUGCAUUCUAAAUAAUGCUACUCUAGCUUAGCUCUCCUUAGAACCUCAAGGACCAAACAGGCAAACUCACCCGGGCAGACCAAUGAACUCCACUUGUAUCACCUGUUUCUUUCAUUUUAACCAGAAAGUGGUUAAAACAGGCUGGCCUAUCAAAAAAGUUCAAUGGCAGAAACAAAUCCCAAGCUAAAAGUCUUAGCAUCAUGUGCUUCUCUGUGAGGUAUCUUUGUGGCCAUAAGUUUGUUACCACUCGAGAUGACAGUCUAAUCUGUGUACUUUCACGUGAGCAAAAAUAACUGCUAAAUUUUGGUGAAAUCAUGUUGCCUCUUCGCUGAGCUAAAAGGCAAAGGUAAAAGGUAACUAACCCACAUUAGGCUCAGUUCCCGCACUCUUGUAGAUGUUACAACAAUAAUAAUAAUAUUGCUCUGAGUAUGUCCACAUGACAAUGCAGAAAUACCCAAGCUAGCUGUAAACGAACCAUUGUAGAUACUGGACGCAGUCUAGAUGAGACAGCAGAGAACACCGAGAGGACUAAUUUACCCUGCUUUUUGGCAGUGUUAGCUCCAUAUGGGCUAAUUUAUCCUGCCAGAAAGCAGGCUCAUUUAUGGCUAGCUCAUUUAUAGCCAGCCUGAGUACCUCUUUGCUAUACUGGAAUUUGCAAUGUAGACGUACUUUCUAUUAAGGUGACAAGUGUGUGAUUGUAGGAAGUAAAAAUAUGGAGGUUGGGAUAUUGAAGGCACCUAAGGGCUUCUUUCUAGGGCAGUUUAAGAGGUUACCAUCUCCGGUGAUCUACUUCUCAACUUCUGCUGAGGAUAACUUUCUACAUACCUGAGGUAGUAUGGGGGAUUAUGUGCCCACCACAGAGCCUCUUGAGUUUACAGCACAACAUUUUAGAUUAAAUCAGUGAAGAGGGUGUGCUUGCAUUAAGACAUUAUAUGAUGAGCUGAAUCAGAGCAGAGGUAUCUAUGGGCUGCAGUAGCAGGGCAGACAGCUUGGGAGCUUAUGCUCCCUGUUGUUCAUCAAGCCCAAAGAGAACUGGGCACCAGGUCCCAUGGAAGCAUUUUUCUGCUGUAGGGUGCAGUGGGAGUUGGGUAUCUCAUUCUCCUCAGAUCCACUGAAAAAAAACUGUCAGCAAAAUCUGUCUUCUUAGGGUUGACUAAUCCGAAUGUUGCUAUCCAGUCAUCUACUGUAAAGUCUGCCUAGGUCUCUGAUCCGAUAAAGAAGCUGUUACAUAGACCUGACUUUCUAGCAUGACUCCAGUGAGAUUUCUCAGGUGCUUAAAGCUAAAUAUAUUUUUAAAUGAAGAUUUGUUUGUUCAAGCUCUACCUCCAUUUACUUCAGGGUAGUUAAUGCAUGUUAGCACUUCUGCUGCAAAGGGAGACUAGCAUUUAGAGCAGGAUUUGGCAUUCAGGAAGGAAAAUGGAUACGGCUGCCAUUCUCACUUCUACCAGCGCAGUCACGUACGAUGUGCUCCAGGCUUGUCUCUUGCUUUCUGCUUCUUGGGCUGCCCAGCUAUGAUCUAGUAUGCUGACCUUACAAGCCAAGGAAUGACUUUCAUGCCGCUGAAUCCCAUCAGGAACUUCAUGUCUCUUGUGGUUGUCUUCAUCCAUGGCUAACUUGUAUUAUCAUUGGCACGCUUAGAAUUGUGAUGUUAUGUUUCAAAUGUUUCUAAAGCUGAAACACACAAGCUCUUUUAUUUCACUUUUGCCUAGCAGGAUUAUUUCAGCUCCACACAUGCAAAACCUCAUAUUAUGCAAGAAAUUAAUCAUAUCAGGGUAAAGUAGCUACUGAAAAAUUGCCAAACACCAUAAACAUUGGUCAAAAUGCAGGCCAACCAUUUGCACAGCAAGUAAUUGAAGCUAGGGGUUCAUUGGAGCGACGCGUAACUUUUCAUUAUGAAUUAGAAAGCUUUUCAAACAUAAAAUGGUGUCUGAGAAGACUGCACUACCUAAAAGGUUUCAGUAAACACUCACAAAAAAAAAAAAAGUGCUAAAAUAUGCUGGAGAGAUCAAUCAUGCUUUAUGGUUACUUGCUCCACGUAGUUUCACACACAUUCUCCGAUAAACAAUGUCCCACACGCUCUGCCCAGACCCAUUAUUUUCUUCAGCACCAAAGCAUCAAGGGCCAGAUUCUCAUUUGGUUUAAGUCAGAAGAGCUCUGCUGAGGUUGACUGCUCACCAUUGAUUUAUGCCAGCUGAAGAUCUGGCCUGAAGAGUGACAAAAAUGUAAUUUUAUGUUUUAUUUAUGGGUGUAAAACAAUAGUCCUAAAGGGAGCAGAUGUUCCAUGUCGAGGGAGGAGGUUUAUGAAAUGCAAUUCCAGACACAAAAGCUAAUCUCUGUGGUCAGGGAAGGCAUGAGGCCUGUUUUACAUGAUGAACUUUAAUUGAAAUCUUGCUCUUUUGUGUUCAUUUAUUUCUUCUAUUUGGGAGCCGACAAGCGUCAUUUAAAUUACUUACCAGCUGCCAAACACCUUAAAAAGCAAUAAACAGUUGACUUAAACACCUGGAGAAGGUUGG